rnacentral:rRNA from 1 species
CUAUGCGCCUUGCCAGCCCGCUCAGGUGUGCCAGCCGCCGCGGUAAUACAGAGGGGGCAAGCGUUGUUCGGAAUUACUGGGCGUAAAGGGCGCGUAGGCGGCCUGUUAAGUCGAACGUGAAAUCCCCGGGCUCAACCCGGGAACUGCGUCCGAUACUGGCUGGCUUGAAUCCGGGAGAGGGAUGCGGAAUUCCAGGUGUAGCGGUGAAAUGCGUAGAUAUCUGGAGGAACACCGGUGGCGAAGGCGGCAUCCUGGACCGGUAUUGACGCUGAUGCGCGAAAGCCAGGGGAGCAAACAGG